AGGCGUCCUUGCCCAUCCAGGAGGGUUGGAAGUAGAUGAUCUUCAGGUGCUUUCCAACCCAAACCAUUCCAUGAUUCUAUGAAAAUGCUGGUGAAGUGCAU